UUACGGUCAAAUCACGCUUGAAAACACCGGUUCUCAUUCGAUCACCGGUUAAGCAUCGUAGAGCCAGGUCAGUACUUAGAUGGGGGACCGCUUGGGAACACCUGGUACUGUAAG
rnacentral:rRNA from 1 species